UUAAAAAAAAAAAAAAAAAAAAAACACUUCCUCUGCUUCUGGGUAGAACUGUUCUAAAGCAUUCAAGACAGUGGCAUAGACAUUCUCUUUAAAAAUCAAUCCCAGGAGCAAUUUAUUACAGGGAAAUUUCCUGGACUCCAAGAAGCACCUUGAAGUCAGGAGAUGAUUAAUUUGAUAUAACUGAAGAGCUGCAAACAUCUGCUCCCUGUUGACAUCUGCCUCUCAUUAGAUUACAGCCCCCGUCUCCCUGUGCAUGGGGUGGGGGGGAGGGCUGGCUUGUGUGUUGAUCUGGUAACUCUAAUUAUAUGGUAAGCCGGGUGCUCAAGGCCCUUGUGCCAGCCACCUGGUGGGGGAUCAAUAAAAACUUGCUCUAGUGCAUUGUACUCCAGAUCCACACCAAGCACUCAGUAAGUCCUCCAUCACUCCCAAAUAAUAGAAAUAAAAGACAGUAAUGAGUUUGGUGAGCACAUUUUCAUCUUUUAGCCCCGGUUAAGGCUGCAUGUAGAUGAAUCCCAACCCUUGGUUGUUUCAAAGAGACAAAUCAAUUCCAUGAAAAAUCUUCCAAAUUUAUUAUUUUGGCACCAGGUUUUAUAAUCACUCUUUAACUGCUCUCUCUUCCUCCACUACCCUUUUCCCACUAGAUCUACUAUUAGCGUAAUUGGCCUACAGCAUGUCUAGGAUAAGGAGUCACCCUGUUGAGAAACCUGAAGCUCUGCCUUGCUCAGGAGCACACACCACCUUCUUAACCUUGACUUCUAAGCCCUACACUGCCUGCAAUCACCUAACUUCUGUCCCAGGACACUCCUUCAAACAGCCUUGCCUUAUGUCAUCCAAUGUGACUCUUGCUUCCCAAUUCUGCUUAUGCUUUCACCUUUAUACCUUAGCAUAAACUCCAUAUAAAACCCAGAUGCAAUAUCGCACCAUCUUGGUAUAGAGCUUUGUCAAGGGAAUAGGAACCCAAAAAUGCACAAUGAAUUAAAUCUCUAUCAGUCUUUCACAAAAACACCAAAAGGGAGAACAUGCCCACAACAUGCUUUCCGCAUUCUUUUCUCUCUGGUUUUCCCAGGCCUUGGGUCAACCCAAAGCCUCUCUCCUCCCCAACACUCUGCUCCUACUUCAGGGUUGCCUUCAGCUCACGCCAGGUUCCUUUGUCUCCUUGUUUGACUAAGCUCUUCAUAGCUAUAGCAUUGCAGCCACCUUGGCGUCUUUGAAUUUUUCUGUCAAAGCCCAGAGCUAAUCUCACAAGCAAAAAUUCUCUCUCAUUAGAAGACAAGGUAAGAAGACUGAAAAAAAAAAUUUUAUGCUUUGUCUUAUUUCUGUCACACUGGCAAUGCACACCCUGCAUGGAAAGAUCUUUGCACAUUUCUCAUUAUGAAUACUCCUCUCAGAUCACCAAAGCCCAGAACAAAAAAAUUCAUCAUCUUUAAAGAUUUCACAAUGCCUUCUUAGAGAACAUUGCACACAACACCUUGACUUUUAGAUUGUGGUAUAAAUGUCUUAUUUCUACUUUUGAAAAUUGGGGCUCAAGAUCAUUUGGCAAAUCCCCGUUCACCUUUCAAUACUCACCUAAGUAUCAAUUCCUGGGAAAUGACUAUCCUCACUUCCUUUGCAUCCUUGGUGCAGUCAUCUCUUUGAUCCACAGAAACCAGUUCAUAACCUGACACAUCACAAUGAAAUUCAGUGAUAUCUGAAUAUCUUCAUUCAAUCAGGUUGCUCUAACACAUUACCAUGAACUAGGGAGCUUAUAAACAACAGAAAUGUAUUUUUCUGGAGUCUGAGAAGUCCAAGAUCAAGGCUCUAGCAUAUUUGGUGCUGGUUCAAGCCCUCUUCCUGGUUCAUAGGUAGCUAUCUUCUUCUUAUGUCCUUACCUGCUAGAAGGACAAAGGGAGCUCUCUGAGGCUUCUUUCAUCAGGACACUAACCCUGUUCAUGAGGGCUUCAUCCUUAAGACCUUAUCACUUCCCAAAGGGCCCACCUCCAAAUAGCAAACCUUGAGGACUAGGUUUCAACAUAUGAAAUUGAAGGGACCAUAACAAUUCAGUCUGUAGCAGUGGGUUUGUUUUUACUAUAUUGUUUCCUCUAACUCCAAACACAUGUACACCUUGAAAACAGAGAAAUCUCUUAUUCAUCUUACACCCCCCAAUUUAUCCAAGUACUUGGCCAAAUGUGUGUUCUCAGAAAAUGUCUAUCUGAUGACACGUUUGCUACUUUGUGAAUUCCCCACAGUAUCUAGUACUGGGCUUUACUCAUAGUAGAUGCUCAAAAAGUAUAUUUAGAAUUGAAUUAAGUAUCUUUGGAACAUUCAGCUUGAUUGAAUUUAUUUUCUUUUUUUUCUUGACAUAACAUUGUCUGCAUGGUGGUCUAAAAAUGUUUUCAAAGCUAAAAAAUGGUGGAAGGAAAACAAAGGAUUAAAAAUAAACUGGUUUGACCAGUUUCAUUCCUUCAGGAUACAAAGCCAAGCUUGGAGUUUUGUAGGAGCAAAGCACACUCUCAGGCAAAAGCUAGGAGGCUGAGUGUGGGUCCUUCUUCUGUAACCUGCAAGGCUAUAAGACCUUUCAUUUCUGUAUUAGAAUGUUCUGUUAUAUUAGGCCCAUGUGGCUCCUUUGGUUAAUGGUGACAGAAAAUGUGACUCCAGGGCCAUGUAACUGCAAACACUACUGGCCUAGAAGCUGGAACAGAUUGAUAAGACUGGCAAACCCCACCUAUGCUGCUCUUUUGUAAGAGUGGGAAGAAAACACAGUGAUUAAACUUAAUCACUCUUAUGCAUUGUGCAAUUAAUCUCCAGCACCCCUGGACCGCUCUCCAGGAUCUAUAACUUAAACACUCAGCUCACAGAGAUGGGCCCAUUGACUAUGCUUCUGAUGUAUAAUGGAGUCAACCUGCAGAAAUUCAUUAAUUCUUUUGAAACACAGUACUUCUUCUGUGGAGUGGGAGCUUGGGGGAAAGAGGAUAUAUUUUCUUUGGCAAUGCUUUUGAGUCAGAAGUUCAGGAUAGAGUCAGCCUGAGGAAAGCAGACACUGUUGGUUGCCUAUGCAUGCUCUUAGUUUCAGCCCCAGGGAUGGGUCAUGAACCCAUCCCCCUUGACAGUAACUGGUUGAGAUGAUGGCAUGGAUGUAAUUCAAACCAAUGAGGUGGGAGAGAAAAAAUCCUCCAGAGGAUUUACAAAAGGUUUCCUUUAGGGGAAAAAAAAAAAAAGGUAGGAAAACCUGGUCUCUUUCUCCCUCUGGACAUGGUCAGGCCUAGCUGUGAGACCUGCGACUGGUGUAUUUCUUGAAACUGAUGCCAAUUCAGCCUGAGAUAAGGACAGAGAUGGCAGAGGUGGAAGAAACAAGACCCCAAAUUCUUGAUACUAGCGUUGUGCUACUGAGCAACCAACGCUGGUGCCUCCUUAUCUCUAAAUUUCUUACAAUGUGGAAGAAUAUAUUUCUCUAUUGAGGGGGCCACUUAGAAUUAGCUUCCUUUGUGACUUGAGGCCAAAAUCUUAAUACAUUUGGUUUAUGGAAAUGGCUGAAACUUAUGAAGAUUUUUUUCAGUUUUUUUAACUUUACUGGAGUAGAGUUGAUUUCCAACAUGGUGUUAGUUUCAGGUGUACAGCAAAGUGGUUCUUUAUUAGAUUCUUUUCACAUAUAAGUUAUUACAGAAUAUUGAAUAGAGUGCCCUGUACUAUACAGUAGGUCCUUGUUAGUUAUCUAUUUUAUAUAUAGUUGAAGUUUUUUUUGCACAUGCUGCAUCAUAACCAAGGUGAGACCCCCAUACCAGUUUUGGCAAAUUCCCCCUCAUAUCCCUGGUUCCAAAGCCCUACUGUGGGCAGGGUUGCUGACCUUCAUCCUCAGCUGGGUGACCAGAUUUUAUGGUCUACACUGAACUACUGAGUCUAUAUAGCCCCUUAGUUGCAUGCCCAAAUCACACACACCCCUUCCUUCCUCCCUUAGACUUAGAGAAUUCUCACUUGCUAGGCCCACCCCCUGACAUCUCUCACUAGAGAGACACUCUGGACCAUACACAGGCAGAGGCAAACAACCUCAUCUUUUCCAUGUCCACCUAUUCCAUUUAUUAAGUUCCUGAACACAGCCAGCACUUAGUUAAGCCCUUUAGGGACAAAUUACCUGAGCUCCAAGUGACCUCAAGCUCCAAAGAGCCAACCUUCAAAUAACUACCUAGCUAUUCUAUAAAAGGCAUCCAUUUACUUAUUUCAUUUAUUCAGCAUUUAGUGAGCAGUUAAUCCAUUCCAUGCAUCCUGCUAGGCCUUUGGGAUUCAAUAACGAAUGAGCCUUUUAUUCAUUCAACAAAUGAGUGUCUACUUUGUGCCAGCCAAGCACUAGGAAUAAAAUUGUGAUGGAAAAAUAUGUACAAUUUGAUAGAGAUGCACUGUUGUCAUAUAGUCAUCCAAAUACUAGAUGAAGGGGAGGAAUAUUGCUAGAGAGAACAUUCUAAGCAAAGGGAACAGCAAAUACAAAGGCACUGAGGCUGAAGGGGGAAUGUUGCAAUUCAGAAAAUCAAAGCCAGUGUGACUGGAGUACAGUGAGCAAGAGGGAAACUGUUUCAAGAUGUGGCUGCAGAGGCAAGAGGCAAGGGCUAGGUCACGAAGUGCCCUUAUACUAUAUUGAAGAGUUUGAAUGUUUUCCUAAAGAUCCUGAUGUGACCCUGAAAAUUUUUAAGCAAGAUAGUAAACUGACAGGACAUUUGCUGGAAGGGCCAAGCCCAGGAUCAGGAAGACUAGUAGAAAAAUAAAUAGAAAAUGACUUAACAAAAGUCCUGGCCAUGAGAACGAAGAGAGAAUGGGCAAGAGACUCAGGUAGGUGGGAUCAGCUUAAGAUGCUAUUGGAAGAGGUGAAGGAGAAGAACAAGGGGCAGAGAUGAUUCCCAGGUUUCAUGGGAAGUCUGUUUGAGUAGGAGUGGGAUUAGAGUUUAUUCAGUUAGUGACAUAGUAUGCCCAAGGCGGAGCCAUUUAGACAUUAAGGUAUACAAGUCUGAAGC
rnacentral:lncRNA from 1 species